CCUACGGGAGGCAGCAGUAGGGAAUCUUUCACAAUGGGCGAAAGCCUGAUGGAGCAACGCCGCGUGCAGGAUGAAGGCCUUCGGGUUGUAAACUGCUUUUAUAAGCGAGAAAUAUGAUGGUAACUUAUGAAUAAGGAUCGGCUAACUACGUGUCAGCAGCCGCGGUCAUACGUAGGAUCCGAGCAUUAUCCGGAGUGACUGGGUGUAAAGAGUUGCGUAGGUGGCAUAAUAAGUAGCUAGUGAAAUCUGGUGGCUCAACCAUUCAAACUAUUAGCUAAACUGUUAAGCUCGAGACCGUUAGGGGUAACUGGAAUUUCUAGUGUAGGAGUGAAAUCCGUAGAUAUUAGAAGGAACACCAAUAGCGUAGGCAGGUUGCUGGGACGGUUCUGACACUAAGGCACGAAAGCGUAGGGAGCAAACGGGAUUAGAUACCCGGGUAGUC
rnacentral:rRNA from 1 species